rnacentral:rRNA from 1 species
UACGGAGGAUCCAAGCGUUAUCCGGAUUCACUGGGUUUAAAGGGUGCGUAGGUGGAAUGACAAGUCAGUGGUGAAAACCUGCAGCUUAACUGUAGAACUGCCAUUGAUACUGUUGUUCUUGAGUACAUUUGAUGUGAGCGGAAUGUGUCGUGUAGCGGUGAAAUGCUUAGAUAUGACACAGAACACCAAUUGCGAAGGCAGCUCACAAAACUGUAACUGACACUGAGGCACGAAAGCGUGGGGAUCAAACGGG